rnacentral:rRNA from 1 species
AACGAACGCUGGCGGCAGGCUUAACACAUGCAAGUCGAGCGCGUAGCAAUACGAGCGGCAGACGGGUGAGUAACGCGUGGGAACGUACCCUUUACUACGGAAUAGCUCUGGGAAACUGGAAUUAAUACUGUAUGUGCCCUUUGGGGGAAAGAUUUAUCGGUAAAGGAUCGGCCCGCGUUGGAUUAGCUAGUCGGUGGGGUAAAGGCCUACCAAGGCGACGAUCCAUAGCUGGUCUGAGAGGAUGAUCAGCCACAUUGGGACUGAGACACGGCCCAAACUCCUACGGGAGGCAGCAGUGGGGAAUAUUGGACAAUGGGCGCAAGCCUGAUCCAGCCAUGCCGCGUGAGUGAUGAAGGCCUUAGGGUUGUAAAGCUCUUUCACCGGAGAAGAUAAUGACGGUAUCCGGAGAAGAAGCCCCGGCUAACUUCGUGCCAGCAGCCGCAGUAACAC